ACGUGGGUGGGGCUGGGCGCCCUCCCCACCCCCACGAGGGCCGCGGCCGUGGGGCGCUGGUAGCUCUCCCGCCCCUCCGCCCUGCACCCCUCCCGCCCUAGGGCUCUUUCCUGGACUGCGGCUGCAGCCUUCUCUUCCCGGAGGGCUCAGAGUUCGUCCCCUUUUCGCGAUUGGGAACGUGGACACGCCGGAGCCUGGAUGCAGAAGGGCGCGCGGGAACAGGGAGCUGGUGCGCGAGCCGCAGCCCAGCGUCCAGGCCGCCCCACUCUCUGCUGAUCCAAAGGACUAGGGAAACCCUGCGCGCCGACGGUGGCCUGGACGUUGGCGCGGGCCCUGGCGCUAAAAAACGGAUCCCAUUUCCAGAAAGGCGGGCCGGGUAUCCCGCUCCUGCCUCCUGGAGAAUUAGCUCGGCGGAGGUCGACCAGCCGGGUAGGGAGGGAGGGAUGGAGGGACAGGCCUAGGGUCGACCAGCCGGAUAGGGAGUAGCUUCUGGGAGCUCCCUUGCCUACGGAGGGCCGGUGAGGCUGCCCUCAGAGCGCCGCCAGUUAGCUGCAGCUGAGCCAGAAGCGUCCCCACUGGCUUACCCGAUAGUGGGAUUUUACACGGUGUCGGCUAAGGGUGGCUUUGUGAGAAGACCAUUUCAGAAGAAGAAACGGGGCUCUGGCUGGUGGGGUAGAAACCCCUAUGGAAUGAAAAGUACUCCCAGUCUCUUUGAGGAAGAUUGCAAAGUAAGGUGGGUUGUUUUUCUUUUGUCCCAUCCUUCCCACCCCUUAAAUUAGAAGAAAAGGCCCCCAAGCGUGCAGCACCAGGUGGACGUUUGGAAGCUGCGAGUGGAAUCUCGUUUAAAAACUUCCGGCCCCACGCACACCAAGUAUCCAUCUUCGUCGUAGUUGGGGUGAGGAAGAGUGUGACUUCCCUACCCAGAGUCUGGUUGAGCACGGAUCCCGCCGAGGAGAGAAGGGUCCCGGCCGGGGGGAAGGUCCCUCUUUCUGGGACAAAGCGAUCCUUAAUUGUGGCCACCUUCCAAAGUCCGGGGCGAAUUCGCUACGCGCGUCUGCCCGGGCGGCGCUUGGUGGGUAGUCCCGCUUCCACCAAAACUCUGUGUUUCCUUUCUCUCAAAAUAAAACUCAACAAGCCAUAAAGCUUCCGACGCCGGUGGAGAAGGCGCCGCGGAUUUAUGGCCCCUGAAUUCCCUACUCUCUAAUUAUCCUUGUUUUUACUUGACUUAUGGGUAGUGACCAAUAAAAUCAUUUUCCAUUUUGGAUUUUU
rnacentral:lncRNA from 1 species